rnacentral:rRNA from 1 species
AACGAACGCUGGCGGCAGGCCUAAUACAUGCAAGUCGAACGGAUGUAGCAAUACAUUAGUGGCGCACGGGUGCCUAACGCGUGGGAACAUACCCUUGAGUAAGGAAUAAUGUCUGGAAACGGACACUAAUACCUUAUAAUGACUUCGGUCCAAAGAUUUAUCGCUCAGGGAUUGGCCCGCGUCUGAUUAGCUAGUUGGUGAGGUAACGGCUCACCAAGGCGACGAUCAGUAGCUGGUCUGAGAGGAUGAUCAGCCACACUGGGACUGAGACACGGCCCAGACUCCUACGGGAGGCAGCAGUAAGGAAUAUUGGACAAUGGGGGAAACCCUGAUCCAGCCAUGCCGCGUGAGUGAAGAAGGCCUUAGGGUUGUAAAGCUCUUUCAAUAGUGAAGAUAAUGACGGUAGCUAUAGAAGAAGCCCCGGCUAAAUUCGUGCCAGCAGCCGCCGUAA